GCACCCCUAGCUCAAUUGGAUAGAGCAUCGGUCUACGGAACCGAAGGUUACUGGUUCGAAUCCAGUGGGGUGUAC
rnacentral:tRNA from 2 species